rnacentral:rRNA from 1 species
CUUGCAGUUUAGACUAUGUAUUCCAUUUGAAGCUAAGCAGGUUUGGGCCUGCCCAGUACUUGGUUCGGAGACAAACUAGGAAAGCUGGAUUGCUGCUGGA